UGGGGAAUCUUAGACAAUGGGCUGAAAGCCUGAUCUAGCCAUGCCGCGUGAGUGAUGAAGGCCCUAGGGUCGUAAAGCUCUUUCAACUGUGAAGAUAAUGACGGUAGCAGUAGAAGAAACCCCGGCUAACUCCGUGCCAGCAGCCGCGGUAAUACUGGAGGGGGUUAGCGUUGUUCGGAAUUACUGGGCGUAAAGCGUACGUAGGCGGAUUAAUAAGUUAGAGGUGAAAUCCCAGGGCUCAACCCUGGAACUGCCUUUAAAACUGUUAGUCUUGAGAUCGAGAGAGGUGAGUGGAAUUCCAAGUGUAGAGGUGAAAUUCGUAGAUAUUUGGAGGAACACCAGUGGCGAAGGCGGCUCACUGGCUCGAUACUGACGCUGAGGUACGAAAGUGUGGGGAGCAAACAGGAUUAGAUACCCUGGUAGUCCACACCGUAAACGAUGAAUGCCAGACGUCAGCAAGCAUGCUUGUUGGUGNNACACCUAACGGAUUAAGCAUUCCGCCUGGGGAGUACGGUCGCAAGAUUA
rnacentral:rRNA from 1 species